GAUGAACGCUAGCUACAGGCUUAACACAUGCAAGUCGAGGGGAAACGACAUCAAAAGCUUGCUUUUGAUGGGCGUCGACCGGCGCACGGGUGAGUAACGCGUAUCCAACCUGCCCACCACUUGGGGAUAACCUUGCGAAAGUAAGACUAAUACCCAAUGAUAUCCCACGAAGGCAUCGGAAUGGGAUUAAAGAUUUAUCGGCUAUGGAUGGGGAUGCGUCUGAUUAGGUUGUUGGCGGGGUAACGGCCCACCAAGCCUACGAUCAGUAGGGGUUCUGAGAGGAAGGUCCCCCACAUUGGAACUGAGACACGGUCCAAACUCCUACGGGAGGCAGCAGUGAGGAAUAUUGGUCAAUGGACGGAAGUCUGAACCAGCCAAGUAGCGUGCAGGAUGACGGCCCUAUGGGUUGUAAACUGCUUUUAUAGGGGGAUAAAGUGUGCCACGUGUGGCAUAUUGCAGGUACCCUAUGAAUAAGGACCGGCUAAUUCCGUG
rnacentral:rRNA from 1 species